rnacentral:lncRNA from 1 species
GUUAAUUUCAUACAACUCUCUAUAAGUAUAUCGGAUAGCAAAUAUAUUUCUAUAAAGUUUAAUUUUUUAUAUUUAUCUCCACAAAAGCUCAGUAAUAUUUAUAUUUAUCCAUUUGGUUUCUCACCGUUAGAGUACUGUUUAUUUUUAGCAGAAGAUAAGUACAAUAAUAUUUUUGCCAUUAUAAAUAUGUCCCUCUAAAGAUCUCAACUGUAAAAAUUGUGCAAAAAUAUCCUCUCAAAAAUUUUCAAAUGUCAUCUUCUUCUUUUCUACGAUUCUAAAUAAUAUAAGAGAGAUAAAAAGAUCAACUUUCCUUAUUCACUAAACAGAGUUAAAUAUUUUAACUAUGGUUAACUAUAUAUUUUUAACAGAUAGCUUAAAAGCAGGGGUAUAUUUGAAAAGGUCAAAACGUUUGCAGAGAUAAAUAUGAAGAGUUGAAAUUCGUAGGAAUAUAUUUGCUAUUCGAUAUAUUUAGAGAGAGCUGUAUGCAAUUAACCCUAUUUUAUAUUAUUUUUAAUGCACUAAUCAUUGAUUCACCCACAUUGACAUCAAAUUUGAACAUAAAAAGAUUUGGAACCAAAUUCUUUCAAAACUUCUUAUCAUACUAAGCAAGAAUUUAAGUACCGUGGUACGGAAUCGUACCAAAAAUUUGUCGGUACAGCACAUGGUGCUGAAAAAUAGAGUCUAGAUCUUCUGAAAUU